CACACCACAAUCAUGUCUAUCAUGUCCUAUAACGGAGGGGCCAUCAUGGCCAUGAAGGGGAAGAACUGUGUGGCCAUCACUGCAGACAGGCACUUUGGGAUCCAGGCCCAGAUGGUGACCACAGACUUCCAGAAGAUCUUUCCCAUGGGUGACCGGCUGUACAUCGGUCUGGCCGGGCUUGCCACUGAUGUCCAGACGGUUGCCCAGCGCCUCAAGUUCCGUCUAAACCUGUAUGAGUUGAAGGAAGGUCGGCAGAUCAAGCCCUACACCCUCAUGAGCAUGGUGGCCAACCUCCUGUACGAGAAACGGUUUGGCCCCUACUACACGGAGCCUGUGGUUGCUGGGCUGGACCCCAAGACCUUUAAGCCCUCCAUUUGCUCUUUAGACCUCAUCGGCUGUCCCAUGGUGACUGACGACUUUGUAGUCAGUGGCCCUUGCACCGAGCGAAUGUAUGGGAUGUGCGAGUCCCUCUGGGAGCCCAGCAUGGCCAUGCUGAAUGCUGCGGACAGGGAUGCAGUGUCCGGCAUGGGGGUCAUCAUCCACAUCAUCGAGAAGGACAAAAUCAUCACCACCAGGACGCUGAAGGCCCGGAUGGACUAA